CCUACGGGAGGCAGCAGUGAGGAAUCUUGGUCAAUGGGCGCGAGCCUGAACCAGCCAAGUAGCGUGAAGGAUGACUGCCCUACGGGUUGUAAACUUCUUUUAUAAAGGAAUAAAGUGAUGCACGUGUGCCUUUUUGUAUGUACUUUAUUAUUAAGGAUCGGCUAACUCCGUGCCAGCAGCCGCGGUAAUACGGAGGAUCCGAUCGUUAUCCGGAUUUAUUGGGGUUAAAGGGAGCGUAGAUGGGUUGUUAAGUCAGUUGUGAAAGUUUGCGGCUCAAACGUAAAAUUGCAAUUGAUACUGGCAGCCUUGAGUACAGUUGAGGGAGGCGGAAUUCGUGGUGUAGCGGUGAAAUGCUUAGAUAUCACGAAGAACUCCGAUUGCGAAGGCAGCCUACUAAACUGCCACUGACAUUGAUGCUCGAAAGUGUGGGUAUCAAACAGGGUUAGAUACCCUAGUAGUC
rnacentral:rRNA from 1 species